GCAGGUGCAGCUCAGUGGCAGAGCACGUGCUUAGCAUGCACAAGGUCCUGGGUUCAAUCCCCAGUCCCUCCA
rnacentral:tRNA from 1 species